rnacentral:rRNA from 1 species
UACGUAGGGUGCGAGCGUUGUCCGGAAUUAUUGGGCGUAAAGAGCUCAUAGGCGGCUUGGCGCGUCGGAUGUGAAAGCCCGGGGCUUAACUCCGGGUCUGCAUUCGAUACGGGCAGGCUAGAGUUCGGUAGGGGAGAUCGGAAUUCCUGGUGUAGCGGUGAAAUGCGCAGAUAUCAGGAGGAACACCGGUGGCGAAGGCGGAUCUCUGGGCCGAUACUGACGCUGAGGAGCGAAAGCGUGGGGAGCGAACAGG